rnacentral:rRNA from 1 species
UAGGUACCCCAGUANUCAACCGCGUGAGGGAUGACAGCCUGUGGGUUGUAAACCUCUUUUCUCAAGGAAGAAGUUCUGACGGUACUUGAGGAAUAAGCAUCGGCUAACUCUGUGCCAGCAGCCGCGGUAAUACAGAGGAUGCAAGCGUUAUCCGGAAUCACUGGGCAUAAAGCGUCUGUAGGUGGUUCGGUAAGUCUGCUGUUAAAGACUAGGGCCUAACCCUAGAAAAGCAGUGGAAACUGCCAAACUUGAGUGUGGUAGAGGUAGAGGGAAUUCCUAGUGUAGCGGUGAAAUGCGUAGAUAUUAGGAAGAACACCAAUGGCGAAAGCACUCUACUGGGCCACAACUGACACUGAGAGACGACAGCUAGGGGAGCAAAUGGGAUUAGAUACCCCAGUAGUCA